UCCAACAGCACAGGUUCAAAUUCCACUCACCCACUGUGUAACUUGGAGUAGUUUGCUUAACCUCCCUUUUCAACACAGAUGGACUCAUAGCACCUAUUGAUCUAAGCAAUGGUGGUAAUGGAUGACUGACAUUCUGUAAGACACAGCACAGAUGCAGGUUGACAGCAGACUCAACUCUGGAAUGUAUGCUUUGGAGAUGGGUUUAAAGACUUGGACUCUGUCUUCGAUCCCGAAGCAACCCUGCAGCUUGAUUACAGGCCCUCUUAGCCUCAAAUCCGCAUUGGUGCUGUAGGACGCAAGACCCACGCAGGUUCCACAGCAGUCCUGCUGAGAUGUGAGGACGUUACAGUCAUCAGCAAGCCAAGUAAAAGAUCUGCUUUGUACCCUGGAGCAAACCCCAAUCCCCUUGCUUUAAAUCCUGGAGACAGUCUAGUUCAACCAUGAACCACCCAUAAAGGAAGAAAUCCACCCUGCAACUCCCACACAGAAAGACACAGAAGGCUCCCUCCCGGGCCUCAGAUUAGGCACAAACCACACCCAAACACCUGUUUCACUGAGAUUCUUUCUUAAGCAGGGGAGAAAAGUUAAAAGUGGCUGCUUUCAGAACCCAUGUCUGCUGGACCUCUCAUGAGGCCCACCAAACGGAGACGUCAUCCAGCAGCCAUGAGACUGGUUCUGAGAACAUCUGACUGGGAUCUCAAGACAAGCCCACCAGCUCAGAGAUUUAAGAGAAGACCUCACAAGGCUAAAAACACUUUCUAAGGAAUGGCAGAAGUGUUUGUUCCUCCAAACACAUGGAUCAAUGCAAGGAUGUGCUAAAUCAAAAGGAAUCUGGCAAACUGAACACUGGUAAAGAAACCGAACAAGGCUGGGACAGCUCACCACAGAAAUUAGAGACCUGUGAGUUGUAGGAAGGAGAAUUCAAAAUGCUCACAUUACAGAAGCUCAAUGAGGUGGAAGGGAACACACUUAAGAAGAAAAGUAAAGGAAUUGGAUGGGAAAAUAAACAUAUUUAUCCUUCAAUAAAAUAUAAACAUUUUUUCCAGAGACAAUCAUAGGCAGAAAUUGUAAAGUAUGAGAUUGUAACUUAAUUUGUAUAGAAAUUAAUUUAUGUAUUGAGUUAGAAUUUAUACAGAAUUUGAAAAAAAUGACAUAGAUCACUUCGGUCAAUAAGCUGUCAUUGUGCUGUGAAUUUUACCGUAUUCACAAUAAAAUUACGGUCCAUCAUUCAGAUAACUGGAAGGUAUAGCAGACAAUAGAAUGCAUGAGGGUAACGAACAAAAGAAUAUAUGGAUGCUUUCAUAUCUCUAGUCAAUCUAGUGAUAGAUGAUGUCCUUCCCAAAACCAGCCAACAGAACACAGAGGCCCCCAAAUAAGAAACGAUGGGAAAAUAAACAGCAAGAAUGAUGGGAUUUCUAUAGAAAGUGGUGAAGACUCACACACCAGGCUUCUAGAACUACUAAUCUGAUGAAUUUAUAGGGUGCAAACUUAAACUAUAUAAAGCAGUGGUAUUUCUAUGCGCUAUGAACAAAAUUACCUAAAUAAACAAAAGGAAAAAAG
rnacentral:lncRNA from 1 species